rnacentral:siRNA from 1 species
GGAUGGGAACAACCUCACCGGGCG